UGAUUGUUGAAGGACAUAUUGACAGAUACGCUCGCAAUCAGUUUGAAAAUGCAAUGGUUACACAGAGACAAACAUUCUCACUCUUCAUGAGUGUUGCUAAGUUUUUAGAAAUUAGAAAGAAGUGGAGCGCAGAGCGAGACGGAAACAGGAACUUACAAAUAGAAGAAUGGAAGCUGUUCUGCCAUUGCAAGAGUCAAGAGAAGGAGAGAAGAAGAAAAUAACGCAGUGAGGAGUUUUCAGGAGGAACUUCAUUGUAAAUUGGGAGGCUGACCUGGACAUCUGAGAAACAGAAGAUGGAGAGAGGAAGGAAAGUUGAAAUAAAAUUUUAUACAGAAAGGGAAGAUGUUGAUGUUUAUUCGGGUCAGAAUGUAUGAUGUAUACAGGUACUUUUUUUUGAUGACCUAUUUAUUGAAGGCCAUGCUCCUGAAUCAACUCCACAGCAUAAGCCUCUGCUUCGUUGAUUUAGCACAGGUGAAAUGGACCCGAAAUUGUCAG